rnacentral:rRNA from 1 species
AGCAGCCGCGGUAAUUCCAGCUCCAAUAGCGUAUAUUAAAGUUGUUGCAGUUAAAAAGCUCGUAGUUGAAUUUCGGGGUCAGUAGGUUGGUCGUGCCACCGGUACGUACUGGUCUCACUGAUUCCUCCUUCCUGAAGAACCGUAAUGCCAUUAAUUUGGUGUUGCGGGGAAACAGGACUGUUACUUUGAAAAAAUUAGAGUGUUCAAAGCAGGCUAACGCUUGAAUACAUUAGCAUGGAAUAAUGAAAUAGGACGAUCGAUCCUAUUUUGUUGGUUUCUAGGAUUGACGUAAUGAUUAAUAGGGAUAGUUGGGGGCAUUAGUAUUCAAUUGUCAGAGGUGAAAUUCUUGGAUUUAUUGAAGACUAACUACUGCGAAAGCAUUUGCCAAGGAUGUUUUCAUUAAUCAAGAACGAAAGUUAGGGGAUCGAAGACGAUCAGAUACCGUCGUAGUCUUAACCAUAAACUAUGCCGACUAGGGAUCGGAUGAUGUUAAUUUUAUAAUGACUCAUUCGGCGCCUUA